GGAGUGGAUGGCAUCAUCCUGACCUGAGCCCUUUCUCCAUCCCAGCGGUACUGCCCCAAAACAUGCUUCCAGAAAUAAUACGUGGGAAAUAGCCAUUGCAAAUUGAUUUCCACCUGGCCCCAACAUACAGGGACUUGGCUGUUCCUGCACAUGCAGCUUGGACCCGGAGCAGACGAGGAAGACAAGACAAACGGCAGAACAGCGCGGCAGAGAAGGAGCGAAAAGAAGGAACAUCCGGAGGAGUUCGGCUGGGGACAGUCAGAGAAUCGGCUGCUGGACGGCCAA
rnacentral:lncRNA from 10 species